CCCUUAGAUGUUCUGGGCCGCACGCGUGCUACACUGAGUGGAUCAGCGGGUCAGGUUGCGCGAAAGUGUUUCCUAAUCUUGAAAUCCGCUCGUGAUGGGGAUUGACGGUUGCAAUUUUCCGUCAUGAACGAGGAAUACCUUGUAAGCGCGGGUCAUCAUCCCGCGCUGAAUACGUCCCUGCCCUUUGUACACACCGCCCGUCGCUCCUACCGAUUGAGUGGUCCGGUGAGGCUUUGGGAUCUGAGCAAAAAGAGCGUUUCGCUCGUUUGGCUCGGAAAACUCAGCCGAACCUUAUCAUUUAGAGGAAGGAGAAGUCGUAACA
rnacentral:rRNA from 1 species